GUGCUUGCACUUGGGGAUUAGUGGCGAACGGGUGAGUAACACGUGAGUAACCUGCCCUGGACUCUGGGAUAACCCCGAGAAAUCGGAGCUAAUACCGGAUAGGACCUUUCCCCGCAUGGGGUUUGGUGGAAAGUUUUUCGGUCUGGGAUGGACUCGCGGCCUAUCAGCUUGUUGGUGAGGUAAUGGCUCACCAAGGCGUCGACGGGUAGCCGGCCUGAGAGGGUGACCGGCCACACUGGGACUGAGACACGGCCCAGACUCCUACGGGAGGCAGCAGUGGGGAAUAUUGCACAAUGGGCGCAAGCCUGAUGCAGCAACGCCGCGUGCGGGAUGACGGCCUUCGGGUUGUAAACCGCUUUUGGUAGGGAAGAAGGGCUUCGGCUUGACGGUACCUGCAGAAAAAGGACCGGCUAACUACGUGCCAGCAGCCGCGGUAAUACGUAGGGUCCGAGCGUUGUCCGGAAUUAUUGGGCGUAAAGAGCUCGUAGGCGGUUUGUCGCGUCUGCUGUGAAAACUAGAGGCUCAACCUCUAGCCUGCAGUGGGUACGGGCAGACUUGAGUGGUGUAGGGG
rnacentral:rRNA from 1 species